UACGGAGGAUCCAAGCGUUAUCCGGAAUCAUUGGGUUUAAAGGGUCCGUAGGCGGUUUAGUAAGUCAGUGGUGAAAGCCCAUCGCUCAACGGUGGAACGGCCAUUGAUACUGCUAGACUUGAAUUAUUAGGAAGUAACUAGAAUAUGUAGUGUAGCGUGAAAUGCUUAGAGAUUACAUGGAAUACCAAUUGCGAAGGCAGGUUACUACUAAUGGAUUGACGCUGAUGGACGAAAGCGUGGGUAGCGAACAGG
rnacentral:rRNA from 1 species